GACGAACCGAGCGAACGUUAUUCGGAAUCACUGGGCUUAAAGGGCGCGUAGGCGGUUCGUUAAGUCCUGUGUGAAAUCCCCCGGCUCAACUGGGGAACUGCACAGGAAACUAGCGGGCUUGAGUUCGGGAGAGGGAAGCGGAAUUCCGGGUGUAGCGGUGAAAUGCGUAGAUAUCCGGAGGAACACCGGUGGCGAAGGCGGCUUCCUGGACCGACACUGACGCUGAGGCGCGAAAGCUAGGGGAGCAAACGGG
rnacentral:rRNA from 1 species